rnacentral:rRNA from 1 species
AGCGAACGCUGGCGGCAGGCCUAACACAUGCAAGUCGAACGGACCCUUCGGGGUUAGUGGCGGACGGGUGAGUAACACGUGGGAACGUGCCUUUAGGUUCGGAAUAGCUCCUGGAAACGGGUGGUAAUGCCGAAUGUGCCCUUCGGGGGAAAGAUUUAUCGCCUUUAGAGCGGCCCGCGUCUGAUUAGCUAGUUGGUGAGGUAAUGGCUCACCAAGGCGACGAUCAGUAGCUGGUCUGAGAGGAUGACCAGCCACAUUGGGACUGAGACACUGCCCAAACUCCUACGGGAGGCAGCAGUGGGGAAUAUUGGACAAUGGGCGAAAGCCUGAUCCAGCCAUGCCGCGUGAGUGAUGAAGGCCCUAGGGUUGUAAAGCUCUUUCACCGGUGAAGAUAAUGACGGUAACCGGAGAAGAAGCCCCGGCUAACUUCGUGCCAGCAGCCGCCGUAAGAC